AAAUAACAAUAUGACUGAGGUACAAUAGGUUAUUUUGCACAUAGAAGGGUGGAUACCAUGUUAAACUGACAGUGUCUUUUAUCCUUCUUAUAAUAUGAGGCCUGAUAGGGUCCUCAAUAUAUGUAAAUUAUACAGUUUGCCUCUGAGGGCUGCGAUGUUCGAUUCGCAUAUUAGAAUAAAAUGCUAGUCCCGCUAAUGUUAAUGCAAUAUGUGUUCAAAUCAUGUUUUGCACUACUUUCAGCACUUUUCGCCGCAAUGUAGCAUUCAGCGGUUUCACCCCAAAAAAAAAAAAAGAAGGGCGAUGAAAAAUAAUUAUGGUUGCAAUCAAGUUACUACGAAAACCUAUUUGAUUAGCGGCCACUCUUUACUCAAAUUGCAGCUAUAAAAUUAAGAACAAUUCGCCUGUAAUGAUUAUGGACUGGAUUUAUUUUGGGAGGGUGGAAUAAAAGUGGAUAUAGCAUAAAUUAUCCCCUAAUUAUACGCCAGUGUCGCCUCAAUUAUCCUCAUCAAAAAUGGUUGUCUAAAUGCAGCGUUUAGUUUCAAUUUUCUCCUUUUCGGUAACAAGAACUUGGUACCUUGCUAUUAUCGCCCUGCUACGGUUGUUAUUUACUUUGUGGGAUUUAAAAGUGCACAACCCAGCCGGAUAAUCAUUUUACAGCAGCGGAUGAAGAGGGGAGCACAGAGGCAGGGAUGUGAGCCGCAAGACAUCCAGACGGACUUGCUUUUAUGCUUCCAGACUAGAUCCAUUGAAAUUGUAUUUUCUUUAAAAACCAGGGUGCUUCUUUGUCGUCAGGAGGGCUGCAGCGCAAAGCCACUGGCGCUUCACAGACAGCCAGGCGUCGACGGCUCUCCAACUCUGCCGCGUCAAGGGCCGGAAGUGGCGAGGGGAAGCGCAGAUGCAUACUCCACACAGCUGUCAGUAUAACAUGAUUCAUUGUAACUAGAUUCAGAGGGAGCACCCCCCCUCAGACACACACACACACACACACACACACACACACACACACACACACACACACACACACACACACACACACACACACACACACACCAAAAUGAUCAGCGAUCAGCCUUUAAUGCUCUAGUAGAAUUCAUCCGUGACCAAAUGGUGGCGCGCCGCUUUUACGCACACAAAUUGCACACAGCGCACUAAUGCAAAGCCACUUAUGCAAAGCUUUGAUGUGUAUUGUAAAAGCGUGCAACUACACUAAGAAAAAUUAGUGCGGUUUUGUCAUAAAGAAAACCAUGCGCUGCCGGGCAGACGACUGUUUACAAUACAUUUUGCAUCAUAAAUUAGGAUUGCAUUAUCUCUCCAGUAAAUGGCAAAAUUGGCAUAUGCAUGGCCCCAGGUGCAGGCGAGGGCCUUCAGAUGGACCCAGCGUAGCGUGUUCGUUGUAGAGUUAAAUGACCACAAAUAAGCAAAGGCCUGCACCACUGAGUCUUCACAGCCUCUCAUAGACUAAUGGAUUUAAUUUGGCACGACUGAAGCUGCACUGGUCCCACUCAGGGCCGGAGUCCUAAUUAAGACUGCUUGUUUCUCUUGUCGCCUUCUCUCGCUGCAUAUUUAGGUCCAGCUGAGUGAUUGCAUCGCUCGGUUUCCUGCAGCAGUAAUAUUGUAUUAAUACGUUGUCAUCUGUUUUUGAAAUAGUGAAAAGCAACGGGGACCUCAAAUUCAGUCAUUGUGUGAAAUAUAAUAUGUAUGAUAAUCCUGAUCAGCAGAAGGCUGUGGACAUGGCAGCAACGUCUUUACAUUGUCUGUCCAUAUUAUCAAUAGGCAUAUUAUUAAGACAUUAAAUGGAAAAGUAAGACAUGAGGGUUUUGACAUACACUUGUUGUCUCAUAUUGGCAGAUAAUCUUUAAGGCUAUAAUAUCCAUACUAAUAUAUUUAUCAGUUUAGGCUCAAUGCUGCUGGUUAUUGUCUAUAUAAGACCUGGUUAACACGCAUACAUCGAUAUUAUAGCCAGUCAAUAACAAAGGAGCUAUAUCCAGAAAGUUGAUCUUAUGUUGGUGACAAAUAAGACUAUAGUCCCCUUUUCCCCCUCUCUCGGUUUAAUACGCGACAUUAUUAGGUCUGACAGCACAGUGGUCGGUCUUGAAGGAGAGGAUUUGGUCGAUAGAUGACAGACAGGAAGGCCAGCAAUCAUGGGCUCUUUUUUUUAUCAGAAUGUACUGUUCGAUGCCGUUUAUCCCUGAUGAUAGAAAAUUGCUCUGUUGCCAGGACGCUGCCGCCGAAAUAGAGGGCAGGAGCAACAUUUCCAUUUUCCUCUU
rnacentral:lncRNA from 1 species